rnacentral:rRNA from 1 species
GGUGCCUACGGGGCGCAGCAGUGGGGAAUAUUGCACAAUGGGGGAAACCCUGAUGCAGCGACGCCGCGUGAGUGAAGAAGUAUUUCGGUAUGUAAAGCUCUCUCAGCAGGGAAGAAGUUGACGGUACCUGAGUAAGAAGCCCCGGCUAACUACGUGCCAGCAGCCGCGGUAAUACGUAGGGGGCAAGCGUUAUCCGGAAUUACUGGGUGUAAAGGGAGCGUAGACGGUGAAGUAAGUCUGGAGUGAAAGGCGGGGGCCCAACCCCCGGACUGCUCUGGAAACUAUUUGACUGGAGUGCAGGCGAG